rnacentral:rRNA from 1 species
UGGGGAAUAUUGCACAAUGGGCGCAAGCCUGAUGCAGCCAUGCCGCGUGUGUGAAGAAGGCCUUCGGGUUGUAAAGCACUUUCAGCGAGGAGGAAGGUGGUGAGCUUAAUACGUCAUCAAUUGACGUUACUCGCAGAAGAAGCACCGGCUAACUCCGUGCCAGCAGCCGCGGUAAUACGGAGGGUGCAAGCGUUAAUCGGAAUUACUGGGCGUAAAGCGCACGCAGGCGGUUUGUUAAGUCAGAUGUGAAAUCCCCGGGCUCAACCUGGGAACUGCAUUUGAAACUGGCAAGCUAGAGUCUCGUAGAGGGGGGUAGAAUUCCAGGUGUAGCGGUGAAAUGCGUAGAGAUCUGGAGGAAUACCGGUGGCGAAGGCGGCCCCCCUGGACGAAGACUGACGCUCAGGUGCGAAAAGCGUGGGGAGCAAAACAGGAUUAGAUACCCUGGUAGUCCACGCUGUAAAACGAUGUCGAUUUUGGAGGUUGUGCCCUUGAGGCGUGGCUUCCGGAGCUAACGCGUUAAAUCGACCGCCU